rnacentral:rRNA from 1 species
UACAGAGGUCUCGAGCGUUAGGCGGAAUCACUGGGCUUAAAGCGUGUGUAGGCGGAUUGCUAAGUACCUUGUGAAAUCCCACGGCUUAACCGUGGAACUGCUUGGUAUACUGGCUGUCUUGAGCCACUUAGGGGCGACCGGAACAAACGGUGGAGCGGUGAAAUGCGUAGAGAUCCGGAGGAACACCGAAGGCGAAGGCAGUGUCCUGGCGAGUAUCCUGACGCUGAGGUGCGAAAGCCAGGGGAGCGAACGGG